rnacentral:rRNA from 1 species
AUACGGAGGAUCCGAGCGUUAUCCGGAUUUAUUGGGUUUAAAGGGUGCGCAGGCGGCCAUUUAAGUCAGCGGUUAAAUCGUGGGGCUCAACCCCAUUCUGCCGUUGAUACUGGGUGGCUUGAUUGCGGUCGAGGUUGGCGGAAUUCGUUGUGUAGCGGUGAAAGUCAUAGAUAUGACGAAGAACACCGAUUGCGUAGGCAGCUGACCAGACCGCAAAUGACGCUCAUGCACGAAAGUGCGGGGAUCGAACAGGAUUAGAUACCCUGGUGUUUUUCACAGUAAACGAUGAAUACUUGUUUUCGGCGAUAUAAUGUCGGAGGCAAAGCGAAAGCGAUAAGUAUUCCACCUGGGGAGUACGCCGGCAACGGUGAAACUCAAAGGAAUUGACGGGG